AUCUGGGUCCAAUGGUGAGAGAGAUUAUUGAAAUUACCCUAAUAUACUUUGAUCUUUUACUUUUGUAUAAAUCUUUGUUGGAAGUUAGGGCAUGGAGAUUUCAUGAAUUAAUAUUAUUGUGGAUUUUGUGCACGAUUGCUAAUAUCAGAAGAAUUUUGGACCUGGUAUGGAUUGAACAAAACAGUUGAACCAUUCCCUGAAAAAUUAGAUAUGACAAGUUAAGAUUAAAAAAAAA
rnacentral:misc_RNA from 1 species